AUUGAACGCUGGCGGCAGGCCUAACACAUGCAAGUCGAGCGGGGUUUUCGGACCUAGCGGCGGACGGGUGAGUAAUGCGUAGGAAGCUACCCGAUAGAGGGGGAUACCAGUUGGAAACGACUGUUAAUACCGCAUAAGUCUACGGACCAAAGUGUGGGACCUUCGGGCCACAUGCUAUCGGAUGCGCCUACGUGGGAUUAGCUAGUUGGUGAGGUAAUGGCUCACCAAGGCGACGAUCCCUAGCUGGUCUGAGAGGAUGAUCCGCCACACUGGGACUGAGACACGGCCCAGACUCCUACGGGAGGCAGCAGUGGGGAAUAUUGGACAAUGGGCGGAAGCCUGAUCCAGCCAUGCCGCGUGUGUGAAGAAGGCCUUUUGGUUGUAAAGCACUUUAAGCGAGGAGGAGGAGCUCUAGGUUAAUACCCUAGAUGCUUGGACGUUACUCGCAGAAUAAGCACCGGCUAACUCUGUGCCAGCCGCCGCCGUAAGAC
rnacentral:rRNA from 1 species